rnacentral:rRNA from 1 species
GUGCCAGCAGCCGCGGUAAGACGAACCGUGCGAACGUUAUUCGGAAUCAUUGGGCUUAAAGCGCGUGUAGGCGGAUUCGUGCGUCUGUCGCUGAAAUCCCCCGGCUCAACCGGGGAACGGGCGCGGAUACGACGAGUCUGGAGGGGCAUAGGGGGACCUGGAACUUCCGGUGGAGCGGUGAAAUGCGUUGAGAUCGGAAGGAACGCCCGUGGCGAAAGCGAGGUCCUGGAUGCCUACUGACGCUGAGACGCGAAAGCCAGGGGAGCGAACGGGAUUAGAUACCCCAGUAGUCC